AAGGCUUUAGCUUAAUUAAAGUGUCUGUGUUGCAAUCAGAGGAUGUAGGUUAAAAUCCUACAAGUCUUA
rnacentral:tRNA from 1 species